UUGCUGCCCCAUGCCAGGAGAACUUUGUCCUAUUCGGGUUUUUUUUGUUGGGUUUGGAGGCAAAGCUCGAGGUCUUUGCGCCAGCAAAGACAGGGAGGCGUCGGGGUACUUUGGGGUAGGGACCCCGUAUAUCCCCUGCAAGCCUCGGUUGCCUUUCCCGCAGUUGCAUCCAAAAACCGCCACCGGCAUUUGUGCUGCCUGCCCGAAAUCAUGGCCAGGCCUCUAAAAGCAUCUCCUUGCGCUUGCUUUCUGUAUUAGAUGUGUUUUCUGAUGAGAAACGGGCGAGAGGCUGUGCCGGCGGUUCGUCCCUGCUGUGCUGACGCCUCCUGUUCGUGGUGUAAAGCCCCCAGGUUUUACUUUUGAUCCUUGAAUUUGGAAAACCGUUUGUAUAUUUGUGUUUGUUCUCGAGCGUUGGUUCAGGUUUAGCUUAGUGAUUUAAAAGGCAAAGGAGACCCAGAAGUAACAAGGGAGGAGAAAUCUUGAGGGAGAGUCAAGAAAUGUUUGUCAAUCCGGAGCAGGACGUGUAAGAAUGGGGAUUUUUUUGCUUGGAGAGGCUGUCACUGUCGAAACCAAAUCCUGGCCAUGUCCCUCACUAAGAGUAACGUGUCCUCAACCUCUCUUAAUCCACCUCCGCUGCUGACCAAGUGGAUGAGUCCACAUUGUAAAUUCAAAAGCACAAAUCUGAGGGCUCCUUCUCCACCUGGCUCUGUGCUCUGGCUGUGCAGUUUUGCUUCGAGGGGGUGGGAGUGCACAUUUCCUUCCUUUUCCAUCUCUGUGGGCUUGUGCCCGGGAGUUUUGCUUUGGGAUUUGGGGUUUGAACAGUGGAAAACGCAAAGCCAGACUCUGUGCUGCAUCUUCGCUGUCUCGGAGGGCACAUCAAAAAGUGCUGCUCGCGUGAUGAGUUUUUAUUUCACAACACAGCUUCUUCCAAAUAAAAAUGGAUGCUCCUUUAGAGAGCCAAAUCCACCCCAUAGACUCUGAGAAAGGAGAGGACAACCGCCACCGAGCUUGCAUGAGACCACAAGGUUUGCCACGUAUGGUUCACUACACGGGCCAUGCUGUUGAAGAAGUGCAUUAGAGCCAUCCUUCAGCAUCAAGGAAGCUCAGACUACCACAGCUAUGAAUAGCGGACCCUGGCGUACCCAUCUGUUUGUAAUUCAAGAAUUUGAAGCAUUUCUGGACUGGUUUUCUCUCCUAUCUUUGGUAUAUUCAGAUCUAUUCAUUACAAACUUCUUGAUAAAUGAACCUCGUUUCUUGCCUUACAGCAGAUGGAGAAUUUAUGUGAGAUAUAUAUAUAUAUAUAUCUCUCCUGGGAAAUGUCUUAUCUGAAUUACUUGCUUGGCCAUGAGGUGUCAGCACACUGUACACAACACAGCUGGAGCAGAGCUUGCAGGCAUUUUUCAGAGUAGGAGUCAGACUUCAAUGUCAAGAUUGGAGUAUGUUUGUGUCCCCAGCUUGGGUCCACCUCUUAAUAAGAAUUUUUUAAUUUUAAGGCAAGUUCAUUAAGAGACAGCUGAUUGCUGGGGAAAAUAAAGUAAGCCCCUCAUGAGAAGCUGUGUACUGUAUGGCAUAGCAUCAUUCCUUAAUCCAAACCAAAAAUGAUCCCAAAGAGCAAGCAGCGCAGGAGAAGAGCAAAGGCUCCAGAGCACUUCUGCACUAGCUCCAGUUUCCCUUUUGUGGCCUCUCAGUGCCAGGAUGGGUUUUGAAACCAUGACUUGAACUGCACCUCAGCAACGCUUGGGAAGAUCCAAAACAAAUCUGUGUUUUGGGCCUCUCCAAAUUUAGAUUGAUGCAUUGCCACAGUCUUUAACUGUGAUGUUAUGAACAGUGUUAGAACGUUGCUUUCCUUAUGUCAUGUCAGUGUUUGAAGGUGGUUUUUUUGUUCAGGUGUGGAGGGGUUUCCUAGAUGUGUGUGAUGUGGGUCAUUAUUCUGUAAUUUGGCCAUGUGGCCUGUGACUUUUGAUGUUGCUAUUUUGUACUUUCUAAUUGUAAAGGGAACUUUGCCUGCGUGGCUGACGUGGUUCAUCAUGCUGACUUCUACAGUGGGAUUUAAAGUCUGUCCUCACACAUCCUCAGUGGUCGCCAUUUCCCCCAGGUCCGGGAUGACGCUUCUAAUCACAGGGCAGUUUGAGAAAAUCAAGAGACUGUUCCUGUUUCCAAAGACUCUUUCCCAGGGGAGCAGAAAGGUCGAGCAGGAGAGUGCUGCCCCACGGUGCCCGUGGUGCUUCUCUUUGUAUGAAUGCACGUUUGCUCUUGCUGGCUUUGCUUUGUCAGGAGGAUGUGGUUCUGCUCUGGCUGUCACUAGUGGUGGCCACCUAUUAUUCCUGAGAGACAAAUAUGGUGUCUUUAGCGAUUGUUUUUGUUAAUAUUGUUACUCAGCCGCUCCUGAUGGGAUACUGGUAACGUACAAUGCAGGAAACGUGUCAGGAAGACAUUGUGAUGUGUAAGAGUUAAUAAUAUAUUUAAUAUUAUGUACAUAUUA